UGCAGUCGAACGCGAACGUAUCUUCGGAUACUAGUAGAGUGGCGGACGGGUGAGUAACACGUGGGAAUAUGCCUUUCGGUACGGAACAACGCCUGGAAACGGGUGCUAAUACCGUAUACGCCCUCAGGGGGAAAGAUUUAUCGCCGAAAGAUUAGCCCGCGCUGGAUUAGCUAGAUGGUGAGGUAAGAGCUCACCAUGGCGACGAUCCAUAGCUGGUUUGAGAGGAUGAUCAGCCACACUGGGACUGAGACACGGCCCAGACUCCUACGGGAGGCAGCAGUGGGGAAUAUUGGACAAUGGGGGCAACCCUGAUCCAGCCAUGCCGCGUGAGUGAUGAAGGCCCUAGGGUUGUAAAACUCUUUCAGCAGGGAUGAUAAUGACAGUACCUGCAGAAGAAGCUCCGGCUAACUCCGUGCCAGCAGCCGCGGUAAUACGGAGGGAGCUAGCGUUGUUCGGAAUUACUGGGCGUAAAGCGCGCGUAGGCGGCUUGGAAAGUUAGAGGUGAAAGCCCGGGGCUCAACCCCGGAACUGCCUCUAAAACUCCCAAGCUAGAAUCCUGGAGAGGUGAGUAGAAUUCCUAGUGUAGAGGUGAAAUUCGUAGAUAUUAGGAAGAAUACCAGUGGCGAANGCGGCUCACUGGCCAGGUAUUGACGCUGANGUGCGAAAGCGUGGGGAGCGAACAGGAUUAGAUACCCUGGUAGUCCACGCCGUAAACGAUGAGUGCUNGGUGUUGGGUAGCUUGCUAUUCAGUGCCGCAGCUAACGCGUUAAGCACUCCG
rnacentral:rRNA from 1 species